GGAGGAACAUAUAAGUUAUUUUUAAACUGGAGAAGGAUACAUAAAUAUUUAACCUUUUAUAUAAAAGAAUGGAUAAUUGUGUAUAUAUCCUUCAAAACUUCAGAAAUAUCUGAUUUAUCCUUACUUUUUUUUUUUCUUUCCAAUAUAUUCUUCAUAUAUUCCUCCGUUACUCCAAAUACUUUCUCAGUUAUCAUCCGUUAAGUUAACUUGCAUUAAACGUGAGUUAAAAAAAAAUAAAAUUACUCUUUUGCCCUCAACUUAAAAGCAAAUAAGAAAUGUUGGUGAUGUUAGAAGGAUAUAUUUGAGAAAACCAAAAAUUAAAAUAUUUUUUGUACCCUUAACUUAAAGGCAAAUAAGAAAAAUUGUUGAAGUGUUUAUUUGAAAGGGUAAAAUAAUAAUUUAAUACAGAUAACAGCUAUUGCUAAUCGUUCAUUAAUCGAAUUUAAUUCUAGGGGUAUAUUUGAAAUAGGUUGGAAUUAACGUAAAAAGUGUAUUUUCAAUAUUAGCCUUUUAAGAAGAGUAAAUUAGAAAGUCGAAAAACUUUUUAGAAGUAUAUUGCAAAAAAAAAAAAAAAAAAGUAUUCCACAUUUUUUAGCCCUAGAUUAAAUUUUUAAAAUUUUUUUUUAAUUCUCUAUUA
rnacentral:lncRNA from 1 species